rnacentral:rRNA from 1 species
GACGUAGGGCGCGAGCGUUGUCCGGAUUUAUUGGGCGUAAAGAGCUCGUAGGUGGCCUGUCGCGUCGGCUGUGAAAACUCGGGGCUCAACUCCGAGCUUGCAGUCGAUACGGGCAGGCUAGAGUUCGGCAGGGGAGACUGGAAUUCCUGGUGUAGCGGUGAAAUGCGCAGAUAUCGGGAGGAACACCGGUGGCGAAGGCGGUUCUCUGGGCCUGUACUGACGCUGAGGAGCGAAAGCGUGGGGAGCGAACAGG